ACCUAAUAGAUACCCAGGUAGUCCACGCCCUAAACGAUGCGAACUGGAUGUUGGGUACAUUACGGUACUCAGUGUCGAAAGCUAAACGCGUUAAGUUCGCCGCCUGGGGAGUACGGUCGCAAGACUGGAACUCAAAGGAAUUGACGGGGGCCCGCACAAGCGGUGGAGUAUGUGGUUUAAUUCGAUGCAACGCGAAGAACCUUACCUGGCCUUGACAUCUGUCGAAUCCUGCAGAGAUGCGGGAGUGCCGCAAGGAACGACAAGACAGGUGCUGCAUGGCUGUCGUCAGCUCGUGUCGUGAGAUGUUGGG
rnacentral:rRNA from 1 species